AAAAAGAAAAAGUUAAAUCAUCCCUGUUUGCAGAUGACACAUUCAUAAAUAUUAAAAACUCUAAAGAUGUCACCAGAAAACUGUUGGAACUAAUAAUUUGGUAUAACUGCAAAGUACAAAAUCAACAUACAAAAAUCAGUAGAAUGUCUAUAUGCUAACUAGGAACUAUCAGAAAAAGAAAUCAAGAAAGCAGUUCUACUUACAAUUGCUCCAAAAAACAUAAAAUACAAUUACCUACUGCACAAUGAAAUUUUGGUUAAUGACAGAAAACAUAUGAGACAAUGGCCCUAUAAGAUUAUAAUCAAGCUGAAAAAUUCCUAUCAUCUUAGCACAAUGCAUUUCUCACGUGUUUGUGGUGAUUCUGGUGUAAACAAAGCUACUGUGCUGCCAGUCAUCUAAAAUAUAUAACACAUGCAAUUAUGUACAGCACAUAAUACUUGAUAAUUAUAAAAACAACUGUUAUUUGGCUUAUGGAUUUACUAUUUAUCCAACUGGCUUGUGGAUUUACUGUACGGUACAUUUUAUCAUUAUUUUAGAGUGUACUCCUACCUAUAAUAGACAAGUUAACUGUAGAACAGCCUCAGGGGAGUCCUUUGGGAGGUCUUCCAGAAGAAGGCAUUGUUAUCAUUGGAGAUGACAGUUCCAUGCGCGUGAUUGCUCCUGAAAACUUUCCAGUGGGACAAGAUGUGGAAGUGGAACACAGUGAUACUGAAGAUCCUGACCCUGUAUAUGCCUAGGCUAAUAUGUUUCCAUCUUAGUUCUUAACAAAAACAUUUAAAAAGUAAAAAAAGUAAAUGAAUAAAUUCUAGAAAAAAGCUUACAGAAUAAGAAUAUAAGGAAAAAAUAUUUUUAAAGAGCUGUGCAAUGUGUUUGUGGUUUAAGCUAAGUGUUAUUACAGAAGAGUCAAAAAUUUAAAAAUAACAAAAAUUUUAUGAAGUAAAAAAGUUAUAGUAAGAUAAGGUUAAUUCGUUAUUACAGAAAAAUAUUUAUUUUUAAUAAAUGUAGUGUAACCUAUGUGUACAGUUAUUAUGAAUCUACAGUAGUAUGUCCUAGGCCUUCACAUCCACUCACCACUCACUGACUUACCCAGAACAACUUCCAGUCUUGCAAGCUCCGUUCAUGGUAAGUGCCCUAUGCAGGUGUAUCACUUUUUAAUCUUUUAUACCAUAUUUUAAUGUACCUUUUCUAUGAUUAGGUAUGCUUAGAUACACAAUUACUUAACACUGUGUUACAAUUGCCCAGAGUAUUCAGUACAGGCAUAUGUUGUACAGGUUUGUGGCCUAGAAGCAACAGGCUGUGCCACAUAGCGAAGGUGUAUGGUAGGCUAUACCAUCUAGGCUUCUGUAAGUAUUCUCCGUGAUGUUUGUACAAAGAUGAAAUUGUCUAAUGACACAUUUCUCAGAACAUAUCCCCAUUGUUAAGCAACAUACAACUGUUUUGGGGAAAAAACCAAGGAGGUUAAAUAUUUGUACACCGAAAAACUGUAAAACAUUGAUGAAAAAAAUUGAAGACACAAAUAAGUGGAACAGUAUCCCAUGAACAUGGAUUGGAAAAAUUAAUAUUGUUAAAAUGUCCAUACUUUCCAAAGCAAUCUCUAUCAAAAUGACAAUCUUCACAGAAAUAUCCAAAAAAAUCUUAAAAUCUGUAUGGAACCACAAAAGAUCCCUGAAUAACCAAAGAAAUAUUGAGCAAAAGGAACAAAGCUGGAGCCAUCACAUUACCUGACUUCAAAGCAUACCACAGAGCUAUAGUGAUUAAAACACCAUGGUACUAUCACAUAGAGUAAUAGAACAGACACAUACAUCAAUGGAACAGAAUAUAGAGCAUAGAAAUAAAACCACAUAUUUAUAGUCAAUUGAGGACGAAGAUGUCAAUAACACACAAUGGGGAAUGAACAGUCUUUUCAUAAAUAGUGUUGGAACAACUGGAUACCCACAUGCAGAAGGAUAAAAUUAGAUUCUUAUCUCACGCCAUAUACAAAAAUCAGCUCAAAAUGGAAGAGUUAACCUAAUAUGUCUUAAACAUUUAAAUGUAUGACACAAGUUGUAAACCACUAGAAGAAAACAUAGAAAAAAAGCUCUGUGACAUUGCUCUGGGCAAUAACAUUUUGGAUAUAAAGCCAAAAGCACAGGCAACAAAAACAAAAGACAAAUGGGAUUAUAUCAAACUAAAAAGCUUCUGCACAGUAAGGGAACAAUCAACGGAGUGAAGGGACAGUCUGUGAAAUGGGAGAAAAUAUAUGUAAAUGUAUUUGAUAAGGGGUUAAUAUCUAAGAUACACAAGGAACUCAUAUACCUCAGUAGUAACAAAAGAACGCAAUUUUUAAAAACAGGUAAACGAUAUGAACAGUUAUCUCUCAAAGGGAGAUAUACAUGGCUAACAGGUAUAUGAAAAAUGUUCAACAUCAGUAAUUAUCAGGAAAAUGCAAACUAAAAUCACAAUGAGAUAUCACCACACACCGGUUAUUUUGGUGAUCAAAAAGAUAAAAGAUAACAAAUGUUGGCAAGGAUGUAGAAAACAGAAAACUCUUCCACUGUGUUGGAAGGAAUGUAAACGAAUAGAGCUUUUAUGGAAGACAAUAUGGAGGUUCCACAAAAAAUUAAAAAUAGAACUAUCACAUGACCCAGCAAUCCCACUGCUGGGUCUGUAUCCAAAGGAAAUUAAAUCAGUAUGUCAAAGAGAUAUCUGCUCUCCCAUGUUUACUGCAGCAUUGUUCACAAUAGCCAAAAUAUGAAAUCUACCUAAGUACCCAUGAACAAAUGAAUGGAUUUUUUAAAUGUGGUAUAUAUGCACAAUGGAGUAUUAUUAAGCCUUAAAAAUGAAGGAAAUCUUGCAUUUGCAACAACAUGGAUGAACCUGGAAGACAUUUACAUUAAGUGAAAUAAGUGAGGUUUAGAAAAACAAAUACUGCAUGGACUCAUUCAUAUGGGGAAUCUUAAAAAAUAAAAGCCACAGAGGUUGAGAGCAUAAUAAUGGUGGUUUCCAGGGGUACGGGGUGGGGGCUCAGAAGAUUUUGGUCAAAGGACACAAAAUUUCAAUUCAACAGAAAAAAUAAAUUCCAGAAAUCUAUUGUCCAAUAUGGUAACUAUAGUUGAUAACUAUGUAUUAUAUUCUUGAAAGUUUCAAUAUAUUUUAAGUUCUCACCACAAAAAUAAGUAUGCGAGGUGAUGCAGAUAUUAAUAAGAUUGAUUUAACCAUUCCACAAUGUAUACAUAUUUCAAAACACCAUGAUGUACACUAUAAAAAUAUAGUUUUAUUUGUCAACUAAAAACAAGUAAAACAAUACACACAAAAAAUAAAAAACAGUCCAGAGAAAAGACUGAUAAGACUAAAAAGUGUGAUUAUAAUACUAUGAAUAUGUGCAAUCUGUAUUGUAAUGCAGGAUGCUACAGGACUCUUACGAAGACAUCUAGCCCAAUGAUGCAGGUAUCAGGGGAGGCUUCUCAUCCAACUGCACUAUGGAAGAUGAACAGAGGGGUAGGAUUUGGGGCUGCAGAGGGAUGGAAGUUCAUAGAGACCCAGCAGUUGGAGACAAUGUAGCACAGCUAUAGAGAGUUAAAAGCUGGAGGAAUGGUGAGCUAUGACGUUGGAAACUCUCGACGUAUAUUAAGAACUCAAACUUCAUUCUCUCUGGUUAAAUGGGGAAAGCUAGCAAAGAGUUUUAAGGAAGAAUAUAACAUGAUCACAUUCACCUUUUAGAAAGAGUUCUACAUUCACGGUGUAGAGAAAGAAGUGGCAAGGCUGAACUCUGAGAAACGUGGUGGCUAGAAUCUGGGUAAGAGGUCCUGUGGACAAUGGGAAGUAGCUGUGAGAACAGUGGAGGAUAUAGAAAUGGUCAGGAAAAAAUCCCAACAGACUUGGUGGUUCUUCAGAUAGUGUUGGAUUUCGGUUGCAGUCAGAGCUGUCUCUGUCCUCCUGUUCCUCAGAGCUGAAGUCUUUGCUGAUGGUCACCCAGGGAGCCCUUAGUUAAUUUUAGUGGCCAGUUUUAUUUUCACCAUCAGUCUUUUCCCCAGAGACACACAGGAUCUCUGCCACUGGCUCCUGUCUUCUUACCAUGCUCUCGUUUUUGUUAAAUUCUUUCUUCCCUAGCACCAACUUAGUGCCCUUCAAAAGUCCAUGUUUAAAAUUUAUGCUUUUUCUACAGAAUGAAAUAGUUUACUCUGAACUUUCAGGAAGUCAUGGAAAAAGAGUUUGCACAUUUGCUUUCCCAGAGGAAAUCAUAUUAAAGUUAAAAAAUAAGUUAUUGAUCUAUUCAAUAAAUAUGUCUUUAUUUACUUUUAUUAUUUAUUUAUCUUUAGAGACAGAAUCUCAUUCUGUUGCCCAGGCUGUCCUUGAACUCUGAACUUCAAGUGAUCCUCCUGCCUCAAUCUCCCAAAAUUCUGGGAUUACAGGUGUGAGCUACCAUGUCCAGACUCAAUAAAUAUUUAUUAAGUGUCUUUUAUGUGCCAUGUACCAUCCAUGAUCCUGGGGCACAGCAGUGAACAAAACAUAGAGAGUCUGUGUCCAUGCAGUUCGUUCCUCAGGGAGGAAACAGACUCUGUACACCACAAAUACUAUACGUACACACAGACUACAUAUACACACGUACAUAUAGAUAGAUGUGUCAACAUAUAUUAAGUCUGAUGGUGAUAAGAGGGAAGGCAUUGUUACAGUGUGCCAGGGAAAAAGACUCAUUAUAAAGACGACCUGUGAGCAAAGACCUAAAGAAUAUAAAAGAGGAAACACAGAUAUCUGGGAGAAAAGUAGUCUGCAAGUAGGAUCAAUAAGCGGUGCCUUGCCUGGCAUGUAUGAGACAUGGCCAGUAGACCAUAAUAGCUGGAGCAGAGUGAGCAAGAGGAAGAAGCUGGGAGAUGCAUUCAUGACGCACCAGGCAAGGAUGGGGUGGGAGGCAAGAAGAUUGCACAAACUUGCUUCUUCUUUUCAUUGACUUGGGAAGCCACUGGAGUGUCUGUGUAGAGGCCUGAUACCAUUUGACUUGAGUAUUAACAGGCUCAUCCUGGUUUCUACUUAAAGAAAAGAUUGUAGGAGGGUAAGGUAGAAACAAAAAGACCAGUUAGCAAGCUUUUGCAUCCAGGAGAAGAUGGUGACUUGGGCUGGAGUUAUGCAGUGGAGGUGGUGAGCAGUUGUCACGUUCUGGUUAUGUUUUGAUGAAAUGUCUACAGAUUUUGCUGAAAGAACCAUGGUGGGUGUCAGCGAUGUCAAGGAUGAUUCCCAGGUUUGGUGCUACAGUUUGCUUAGACAAGUCUUAGACAAGCCUUUUAGAUGAGUCUGCUGGGGCCAUCCUCAAUUCCUCCAAAUAUGCUUUGUCACCCUUUGACUGCUGGUUCUCCUGCUAGCCAUUUUCUCCUUUUAAGAUGAGGAUAUUUAAUAAUCACUCUCUUGAUUCUCUACCCAUCUUCUUCUAAAACUCAACCACCCAGUUUCCAAAUGUGUAAAAUGUGUGGGAAAAUCAAGCUAUUUUCAAAAGUGCUGUAAGUGAUUACAACCUAAAAGGAUAAAUGUUGGUGUUUUGUCUACACAGCCUCUCUUCCUCUCUCCAGAACUAAUUGUCAAGGUAGAUAGCAGAAUGAGGAUUAGCUGGGCUCCACAAGAGUUCAUCAUGUUCUGUGGGAAUAAUCUAAUUUACCCACAUUUGUGAAAACUACAUUUAUUAGAUUUAUCAUAUUGUGCCAUUGAAUUAAAGACCAACUAACAUUUGCCUCUCAGCAGAAAGCUAUGGAGACUAAGAAUCAGUAGACUACCCAGGGGAAGCCACUAGGCAACCAAGACCACAGAGGACUUCCUCCAGCAAAGAGGCAAUGACCCAUUCCUUUGCAUGAGGGAUGUUGGGACGUUCUAAUAAAUGUAUUUGGCCUGAAACCAUCUUCUCACAUUCAAGGACCAUUAGAAACAUUUUAAAGAGAAGGUUGAAAUAGCAGGAGGCAAAAUAGUAAAUCAUGUAAAAAAACAAACCAUAAAAGAUACCUGAAUUAAUGUACUCAAGAAUGAGGAAGGCUUCUCCUUCUAUCUGGCUAAAGUGAAAUUGUUGCUCUUCUUGGCCAUUCAUUCAGCCAAAGCAUAAUCCUUAAACCAAGUAAAAGACAGAAUUGCAUCAUCUUGCCUUCGGGCACAGAUUCCUUGAAACUCUGAGUAGAUACCUGAGGUGUUUAAGAACGUAUCAAAACCUUCAGGUAAAGGAAUAACACUCUGAUUAUAGGGUGUAGGCAUCAACUAGUGAGGAAGACAUGUUGGAGGAUACCAAUAAAUGUUCAGGACAUUUAACAUUUUCCUUUGCCUUUACUCUGGUUGUGAUGUUUUGGUCACGGCCACUGAACACUCAUCGACCUUCCCACUGGCUUGGGUCAAAAUAUCCCCAGUGAUAUUCUCUACCAUUUCCUGAAUCUUUCACUUAAUGCAAAGAUUUUCAUCCUUGCUCUUUUUUAAAAAAAAAAAAAAAAAAUGUGGCCUUAUUGUCAAUUGGAAUACUCAUCCUCUGACAUUUUAUGAGUUUAAGAUUCUCAUUAGUUAUAUAAUUAUCUUGUGUAUUUUAUUUACAUUACUAUGAUAUGUGUUUUUGUCCUCCAUGUAGAACUACAAACUCUUUAUAUCUAGGGAUAAUAUCUAGUUGGUAAAAUGCGCCAAAACUUUUAGGUAGCGUUAUGCAGACGUCUAUAUUAAUUGAGAACAUUAAUGAUAAAAAUUGUAAAAGCAAAAGCAGAAUGAGUUUCCAAGUGUAAAAUUAUGAUUCAGAUUUAGUUUCUAUAAAUGGAAUCAUACCAAUACAGCAAUAUUUUGUUUCAACUAAAAUCUCUUAAGUAACAAACUUUUAAAAUUAGCUAUAAUUAUUUAAGCAGUCAAAACAAACAGGGAAGCCAAAAAUUCCAUAUCAGGAUGUUACAAAUUUACCCAUUCUGACAUUACUAUACAGGAGCUGUAUUUAAAAUUACUUCUAAGAAAUUCAUGAUGCAAUUUCAAAAUGGAAAAUAAUCAAAAAAAGACUACAACAUUUUGUCAACAGCACUCUAAAGAGGUCCUGAUGCAGAUAACUGUGAAUUAUUGUGAAAUUCUAUUACCUCAUAGAAGGGGCUUAACAAAAAAAAAAAAAAAAAAAAUACAGGGUACUUUAGUUCAGUUGGCAUUUGCCAAGCUCUCUAACACAGCUAUUCCUUAGCAUUAUAAAAAAAAAAACUCUAAGCCAUGCCUUCUCUGGUUAGCUUGUAUUCAGUAUAGAAGAGAAAGCAGUGAUAACAUAAUAUAGAACUGGCAUUCUCCAAAUGACUUUAAUCUAUCUUCCCAAAGACUAGUUCUCAUUAAUUUCAAUAACCAGAGUCACAACCAGAAAAUCAACAACCGCAACAGAAAUGGAUAAACAGUGACUUAAAUGAUGUGUUCUGAACCUUGUAAAAUGCAAAACUGAAAUAUACAAAAAAUUAAAAUGGGGCCAACAUUUGACAUGAAAAUAGAUGCAUACAUUCCCAUGCCUUGACUAAGUAAAAUAUUCCAAACUCAAAUUAAUGGGUCAUCUCUAAAAAGCACUUUAGUAACUCAUUUAAUAAUUUGAAUGAACCAAUUUUUCUAUACAAUCACUUGCUUUGGUUCUUCCAUCCAGCUUCCACAACCAUCCAUCUAACAAAGCCAAGAAACCUGGAGUGUUCCUUGAUAUCUUUCUAUCUCUCCAUUUCACAACUAAUUCCUCAGCACAUUUUGUCUACUCUACCUUCAAAUAUUUUAGAGCUACUUACGUGACCACCAUUGCUAUCACCUUGGUCCAAGCUUCCAUCAUCUUUUAUGUGGAUAGCUGCAAAAGCUUCAUGGUCUCUCUGUUCCAUCCUUGUUUUCCUUCAGCCUAUUCUCAACUCUGCAGCCUUUCAAAAUCUGAGGACUGAACUCUGACCGUUUUUUUUCUUCUUGCCCAGAUUUCUUUCUAAGGGGGCUGGGGAAUUAUGUCUUACAAACCAUAAUAUCUUAUUAAGUGUUGGGGUUUUUUUAAAUUAACCCAAUAUAACGUGGCUUACUUUCCAACCUGACUCUGGUAUAGCAUUAAAUGACAGAGAGUAGACCCCCUUACCUUAAGCAUUCCUUUCUACUGACGCCUCAAGUCUUUAGACAAAGCUUAGCUCUGACAACCAAUUGCCAACGAAAGAAGCUCUAAAACCCACUGACAACUUAUAAGGCUGUGCUUCAACAUGCUUUGCCUUUUCAGGCUGAACCAAUGUAUACCUUUCCUGUAUCAAUUUAUGAUUUUACCUGCGUUUGCAGUCUCCCUGGAAUGUGUAAAGCUAAACUGUAAGCCAGCUGCCGCGGGCACACUUUCUUGUGCUCUCUUGAAACUGUUUCCACAGGUCACGGUCACUCACUGGCUCAGAAUAAACCUCUUUAACUAUUUUGGCAGAAUUUGGAUUUUUCAUCAUUAAAUCUAAGGCAACUGGUCAUUUAUUUCUUCAAAAUUAUGAAAUUGAAGAAAUAGUGUCCCAUUUUGCUUAAAGUAAAAGCCAAAAUCUCUAUAACCUUGAAGGCCCUAUAAGAUUAGUCUCUCUUAUCUCCGAGUUCAUCUCCUAAUUCUCUACUUUUCCCUCUUGUAACUGGCCUUUUUUUUCUCAUAAAUUAUAUCUCAUCUUGAAGCCUUUGCUCAAGGCACCUCUCAUCCUGGAAUGGGCUUUUCUCAUAUUCAGGAGGUUAAGUCCCUCAUAAUUGCUAAAUGUUUACUUAAUAUUAUCUUCCUACUGAGGCUCACCCUAUUUAAAAUGGAACUUCCCACACAUUUCCUAACCUCUAACUCUGUUUAUCUUUCUUUUGCACUCAUGAUUUUUUAAGAUACUCUAUUGUAAUUGUUCUUGCCCUACUAGAAUAUCAACUCCAUUUUGGUAAGAUGUUUUGGUCUAUUUUGCUUCACAGACAUAUCCCCCAGCACAAAAAAACUAGUUACUGGUAAAUAUUUGUUCAAAAAAAUUCAAUGAAUAAAGGAAUAAAUUACUAUUCUUUCUUUUAGCUUUCUUACUAACAAGACAUUUUUUAUUCCAUACUUUCCUUUUAUAAUAGAGACUCAGGGAGAAACCUUGUGUGAACUACUCAUUAAAAUGAUUACCGUUAUCUGCUAAUCAUUUCAGGAUAGGGCAUACAAUUAAGGUCGGUUCUGGCACGGAGAAAUAUUAUUAUAAUAAUAACACAAAUUACACAUUGUCAAAGGAAGCAAGUUGUGAGGCAAUCACAGAAGGAAAAGAAUAAAAACCCCAGCAACAGGACGACUUUAAAGAUGUAUUUCCAGAUAACUUGUAUUCCCUCAUGAUCAGCACAAGUGCACUGAUGGAACAGAGCUUCCUUGCCCAGGGGAGCUCCUUGGCUGCUUGUGGAUCUUGUGAGCAUCACUCUAGGAUGCCAUGCUUCAAUCACCCCAGCAACAGCAGAGCCUCCUUGUGGAAGCAGCUGAAUAUGGUUUGCAAUUUUGUUCAACACUUGGAGAACCAGGUUAAUUGUCUCCUUCCCUCAAAUACCAGCAGGCCAUUGGUCCUCCUCAGAGGUCUGGAUCCCAGCUUCAUGGGUCUUUCCUCUGAGCUCAGAGAUACCAGCACCAGCCAAGCCACGCCUUGCUUACAGGUCUGAGUUUGAGCUUCACCAGACAUUCCAAGUUUUUUGUUUUCCUUUUUUUCCCCACAAUUCUGGGGGUGGGAGGCAGCUGCUUCCUGAAGUUGCUACUUCCACAAUACCUUAGAGUUUCUUUUUCUACCCUUUAAGUUACCAGCUGACAACUUGUUACUAAUUAAGAAGUGUUUGUAUUAAAUCUUCUCUGUUCAAAUAGCUGGUAUCAUUUCUGUCUUCAGAGUGGACUCUGACCACUACCUCUACUGAAUAUUGUCAACAUUAUUUCUUUCCUGAGAUGAACAUUUUAUUGGACAUUUGAAAUAAGGCCUGGUGAUAAGUUUCUAUAUAUGCAUAAAAUCAUAAUAAAUGCAACAGCUACUGGUACUGACUGAUGUGGGGAUGACACAUUGGUGGCUGAGAAGCCACUAGCAGCAUUGCCAUUGCUAGGUUCAAAAAUGGUGAACGACUCUUGAUCUCUUGAUGAUGUACUAGACAGAAACUACAAUCUGCCCUGAUUUGUAGUGUAGUUUCAUUCCUGGGAAAGUUAGCACACAUUAAAAUGGUUGAAAAUACACUUUGUGUUUUUAUGUAAAAUAUAGCCAUGCCAUGCAAGAUAUGAAAAUAUUCAUUGUUCAGGACAGUCUUAUGCAUUGCUAUUUGUCUAAAAACUCUGACUCUUACCCACUAAGUGCCACUGCACUUAUUCCAAUUAUGGGUGGCCAAAACUGUGCCCACAUCAUGUCUUACGGUAAUGCCAUAUCUGUUCAGAAUAAAAUAAGGCAGAGGCAGAAGAGGCCAUUUCCUUUAUGAAUUUAGUUGAGGAUAAGUCAUCCCAUGGGUCUUCCACACUGACAGGGCAUCUCCUCAUGCUUCUUUCCACUUGGCAAAAGUCUCAAAGUCUAAGUUAUAAUGAAGAUAGUUUUUCUGAAAAGGAUAAUAUCCUAAAAGAAAUUCUUAGCGCCUAUAAACACAUUUUAAAAUCAAUAUGUUAAUUUUAACAUGAAAGAAAUAAAACUAGUACAUGUAGUAUCAAUAGUAAUAUUUGUGCAUAAUCAUAUUAUAAUACAUAAAUGCCUAGGCACAACUACCUUAGAUACACAGAGUGAACACAAUUAUCAAUCUAGUUACCCUGGAGCACCCUAACACAAGACACCACAGCGGCAUUUAAGGUUUGAGAAGAAAAGGGAAAAAGAAAGAAAAUGAUUCUAAAAAUUAGUAAAGAUGUUAUACAGCAAAGGUUUUAUGAAGAAGUAGGCAGCAUGAAGCAUAAGGUUAGGAUUAGAGGGCCCUCAAGAUUCAGGUGAAGUUAGGGGAGAAAAUACACAUGCAUGGUUGAUAUACAUGUGUAUUUUUAUUCGGGAAACCUGGUGGUGUGGACACAUAUAUAUACAGGCAACCCUUCAACACAUGGUUUGAACUGUACACAUCCAUUUCUAUGUGGAAUGUUUUCAAUAAAUGUAUUAGAAAAAUUUGUAGAGAUUUGUGACAAUUUGCAAAAACAUGCAGAGAAACCAUGUGGCCUAGAAAUAUAAAAAAAAAUUUCUUAAGUUAGGUGUGUCAUGAAUGCAUAAAAUAUAUGUCAAUACAAGUCUAUUUGAUGAUUUUCUACCAUAAAAUUUACACAAAUCUAUUAUAAAAAGGUAAAUUGUAUCAAAAUUUAUGUAUAUACUUACUGACCAAACAUGGUACCACUGCAGUUGAGAGAAUUAUAAACAAACAAAUAUGCAGUAUUAAAUUAUAACUGCACAAAAUUAACUGUAGCACAUACUAUACUACUAUAAUUUCAUAGUCACCUCCUGUUGCUAUUGUAGUGAACUCAAGUGUCAAAAGUAUCCACUUAAAAUGCCACGUAAUGGUAAUCAUCUUUGCAUGAGCAGGUCAUAACUCUGGUAAAUUACGUAUCACAAUAAAAAGUGAUCUCUCGUGUUUCUGGUGUAUUUUUUUAAACAUGUUUUAAUGCAAUAGCAUAAACCUUGAAUAACACACGAGACCCAUACAAACUGCCAAUAGUGAUGCUGGAAAUGCUCUUAAGAAGCAGGGAAAAGUCACGACAUUACAAGAAACAGUUAAAUUGCUUGGUAUGUAUUAUAGAUUGAGGUCUACAGCUGUGGUUUCAUUUCAAGAUAAAUGAAUCCAGUGCAAGGACCACUGUUAAAAAAAAAAAAAAAAAAAAAAAGAA